rnacentral:rRNA from 1 species
UACAGAGGGGGCAAGCGUUGUUCGGAAUUACUGGGCGUAAAGGGCGCGUAGGCGGCCCGCUAAGUCGAACGUGAAAUCCCCGGGCUUAACCUGGGAACUGCGUCUGAUACUGGACGGCUAGAGUUUGGGAGAGGGAUGCAGAAUUCCAGGUGUAGCGGUGAAAUGCGUAGAUAUCUGGAGGAAGACCGGUGGCGAAGGCGGCAUCCUGGACCAACACUGACACUGAAGCGCGAAAGCUAGGGGAGCAAACGGG